GCCAGGUUAGCUCAGUUGGUUAGAACAUGGUGCUAAUAACACCAAGUUCACAGGUUCAAUCCCUGCUUACUGCA
rfam:Pelecanus crispus contig39851, whole genome shotgun sequence.